GGGAGGUGGCUGCAGAGUUCUCGUUGGGAAAUAGGAAGGGAUUUGGGGGCCCGCGAGGCUCAGCCCGACUCCUCUGGGCCCGAUCAGGCCCUUGUUCUCCCUCUUCCCCUUCCUCCCAACCUCGCUCUGUCCUCUGUGGAAUAUCUCUGGGAGCGCCUUUUCCAGGACUGAGUUCAGUCCUGACUUGGCAUCACUAAGAACUAAAACUGCCCUCUUCCUGAAACCCUGCAAGCUGAAGCUGGACGACUUGACAUAACUUGAAAGGAUUUAUCACAACCGUUUGCGUCACUCAGGAAGUUCACCAGAACAUGGUCCUUUGAGUUCCGGGAAAUAACCUUGACUGGGACUGCAACUGCCAUCCUUACUCCAUCAUAUAAACACGCUUCGAGACCAACAUCUAGAAAUCCUUUUGAUUGACUGACUGCCUUCCGGACUAAAAAAAAAAAAGAACAGUUUAUAAUCUGUUCCAACUAUUAAUUUUUGUUUUUCCUUUUGUUUCUCCAUAAAUCGAUGUCUUUUUUUCUGCUUGUAAAUCUCUAACUUCCCAACUUGUAAUACAGAUUUCUCCACAGCCACCACCUCAGCUUCUGGUCUGUGGAAGUUUUAGACAGGGGAAGAAAGGGAUCCGGAAUACAUCACCGUGCAUAAAAAUUAUUUUGAGAUGAAAGCAUUUGGAAAUCAACACAUACAGGAAGAGGCCUUUUUUUCUGAACUCCUUUUAUCUGCCAAAAAGCAGAGCCUCCUAAAAACACUCAAUGGUCACAAACCCUCUCUCUCUUCUGGGUUUCAGUACCACACCUGAACAGACAUUGUCACAAAACCAUCAUAGCUUCUAUUUACUCUUCUAAGGGCCCAUUAUCUUUCCCAAAAGUCAUUUGUUUUCUCAGUCCCCUUUCUCUUCUUCCCUUUCCCUUUAUUAAGGUGGCAUAUAAGCCUCAAAUUCUGCCUCCUUGAGUCACAAUGUUCUCUGCACUCCUGUGUAUGCAUGUGAAUAAACAUCUGCCCUUUCCCUUGCUAACCUGUCUUUGUCAGGCCCCCAACUACUGAAUCUCAGAGGUCAGAGGAAACGUUUUCCCUCUCCAACAGGAGGUACUGUUAAGCCCAGUGGCAUGCUCACAUACACCUUAGCAAUACCGGCAACUUCUCUCCAUCUAACAACUGCGGUUAGACAUUAAAAUGAAAAAAUUUCCUAAUUCUUAAAGGAAGUAUAACAGUUUAAAAAACAGCAUUGAAUUUUUCCAGUCAGAUAGGUCACGACCAUUCUUUUUUUUUUUCAUUGUACAGCCCUCCCCACAAAGGGGUUUAAUUAAUUACCUUUAGCCAAAUUCUUGUCAUUAUUUCCGAAUAUUUACAGCAUAGUGAAUAAGCUGUAGUAUUAGACACUGAAAAACAAGACCAAGUGAUCAAACUAAUUAUAUUAUGGCAUUGAUAUGAUGCAAAAUGUAAGACAGAGGUAGAUCUGAAAAUCACUACAUAGUUGCAAAUUCCAAUUAUAACUGGUUCUCUUUGAAACAUCAGUUUUACACAAAUGCUUAUCCAGUAGCACAUCAUAAACCACAGGGUUAAAAGAAUUUCUUCUGUCAUGUAAAUGUGGAACUGGGAGCUAAAACUGUUAAACUUAGCAACAAAUUAUUUUUUUCAAGAGCAAAGUAAUAUGGAACCCAUAGGAUGC